GAUGAACGCUAGCGGCAGGCCUAACACAUGCAAGUCGAGGGAGAAGCCCUUUCGGGGGCAGAAACCGGCGCACGGGUGCGUAACGCGUAUGCAACCUCCCUUUCACAGGGGGAUAGCCCGAAGAAAUUUGGAUUAAUACCCCAUAAUAUUAUUGGAUGGCAUCAUUUGAUAAUUAAAACUGCGGUGGUGAAAGAUGGGCAUGCGUCCUAUUAGCUAGUUGGAGUGGUAACGGCACCCCAAGGCUACGAUAGGUAGGGGUCCUGAGAGGGAGAUCCCCCACACUGGUACUGAGACAGGGACCAGACUCCUACGGGAGGCAGCAGUGAGGAAUAUUGGUCAAUGGUCGGAAGACUGAACCAGCCAUGCCGCGUGCAGGAAGAAUGCCUUAUGGGUUGUAAACUGCUUUUAUAUGGGAAGAAUAAGGCGUACGUGUACGUUGAUGACGGUACCAUAUGAAUAAGCAUCGGCUAACUCCGUG
rnacentral:rRNA from 1 species